rnacentral:lncRNA from 1 species
CCAUCGGUGAUGGCAUCUUGCUUCUGGACCAUUGGAUGGAACCCUGGAUGAUGAUGCCUUGAUCUGGACCAUUAGAUGUUGCCUAGAUCUGGACCAUUGGCUUUGGUUCACUGCAUUUGGGCCCUUGGAUCAUUAGGAUUUAAGAGGAAGACGUGAGAAAGAAGUUGAUACACCCUUCUCCUUGGCACCCCAUCAUGAUGGGAUGCCUCUCUUGGCACAUGCCUCAUCAUGAUAAGGUGUGUGGAUGGGAUGCAUCCCUUUAUGAUGCAUCCCUCCAUCUCUUAUAAAUAAGGAGGCGCCCU